rnacentral:rRNA from 1 species
CCCUAUGGGGUGCACCAGACAGUGUUCCAGCCGGGAAAGAGUCGCCGAAUACCUUUACAGGAUUGAAUCCGGGUUUCAGUUCACCUGUUACCUCAGAUACCAGAUGAAUGACAUGGGAAUAGAACUGUACCUCUCUGAAUGUUUUCACCUGGACGUGAUCGGAGUUACGGCUAAGAUCAUUCCUCGCAAGGUCGACAAGCAUCACAUGUUCGGCGUUUUCCUUGCUGUCAUUGGCAAGAUCGAUCGCAAGUUGCCUGUCUGUCUCAUCAUUGCCCGAUCUUUUAAAGGUGCCGGCAAUGGGGUUGAUCCUUGCAUUUCCUUUUUCAAUUAUCAGCUGCGCUUCCGGAGAGGAUCCGAAAAGCUUGUAUCCGCCGUAAUCGAAAAAAAACAGGUAAGGGGAGGGGUUGAUAUUUCUAAGGGCCCGGUAAACAUUGAAUUCAUCGCCUGUGAAUUGCUGGCUGAAUUGGCGGGGGGGC